UCACAGUCCCGCCACCCAGCUGGUCCCACGCGGGUGUCACCGUCACUCUGACGCGGCGCGCGGCCCACCAGUGCCCGCCUGUCUACCACCUUGUCAUCUUCAUUCUCAGCCAUGGCCUCUCCUAAGCCGGUGACCCACGUUAUUUUCGAUAUGGACGGCCUGCUGCUGGACACAGAGAGGCUAUACACAGAGGCUACACAGGCCCUGGCCACACCCUAUGGCAAGGAGUAUACAUGGGAGGUGAAGGUGGGGUGUAUGGGAAUGAAGGGCCCCCAGGCAGCCCAGCACAUCAUUGACUCCCUGGACCUCCCCCUCUCCGUCUCUGAGUACCUUGAGCAGAUUGCCAAGCACUAUAAUGCUCUCUUCCCCACUGCUAAAUUGUUGCCAGGAGCGGAGCGUCUGGUGCGUCACCUGCACAAGCACAACAUUCCCAUUGCCAUUGCCUCGGGGGGCGCCCAGGACAGCUUUGACCUCAAGACCACGAACCACCGUGACCUGGUGUCGCUCUUCGGACACGUGGUGCUCGCCUCCUCUGAUCCUGAGGUGACCAAGGGGAAGCCUGAGCCAGAUGUGUUCCUGGUGUGUGCCCGCCGCUUCCCUGACAACCCAGACCCUUCCAAGUGCCUGGUGUUCGAGGAUGCCCCAAAUGGUGUGCAGGCAGGCGUGGCGGCCGGCAUGCAGGUGGUGAUGGUGCCUGACUCUCGCCUAAGCUCUGAGUUGACCAAGGGAGCCACAGAGGUGCUUGCCUCGCUGGAAGACUUCAAGCCAGAGCGUUACGGCCUGCCACCCUUCGAUGAUUAGUGAGGGCGAGAUGGUGGAGAGAGAGGUUGAGUGGCAAUGAUGGUUAUCAUGGUUCAAGGAGAUUUCCUGCCUGUGUGUCCGGGUGUUGCUGCUGAAAAACAAGGCUGGUGUUAUGAGGAGCACACAGUGGUCACCUUCCUUAAAUCACUGGUGCAAUGAGGGUGAGAGGUAAGACCAUAACUGAACAUCCCAUCUGUUUUGUAUGCAGUGCCUCCUACAUCCACUGGAGACUGUAAGGCCUUUCAUAACUAACAACAUUUUGCCAGUCAGAGAUCAGUUCUAAGAUGUAAGAAUUAUUUAUCCUCCCCAAUGUAUUUCUGGAGACUAAGUAUACAGACAGAGAUACGUACACAAGAACACUAUUUUAUGUGGCCCUGGUUGUUUUAAUUAUGCACUUCUCAAAAAUGGUUAAUCUCUUGUAGAGUCUUUACUUAGGUACUGUAAACACCACGUGGGAGGACAAUACUGCAUUUCCUUGCCACACUCAUGAAACUCCCUAAUCUCUACUGAUAAUCUAUUCUGAUCUAUCUCACCUGACUGAUUUACACACCUACCUCCUCUGCAAAAUAAAUAUUACUGUAGUUGCCACAGCCUAAGCUGGAAGUCACACUGUCUCUCUCUCUCUCCCCCCUUUGGCAGGACAGGGCAGUUGAUUGGUGCUCUCAAAAGUCCUUACUACUUUCCAACAUUUUUAAAAUUAACAUGAAAUUUUAAUCACCUUACCAGUUAUUCUUGCACUGAACUGAUUUUAAGAAAUAUUAAUAGAGUCAAUGCUAAUAUCAAAUUAACCCUUGGAGAAAUUGUGAAAAACAAACAGAUGGAUGCACAGUGGAACAAUCAUGUGGCACAUGUUGAGUUUAUGUAAAUGUGUCUUUCUUGAGCUGUGCCCAUCUCUAUAUGAAUAUUUAAAUAUUCAUAUUUAAUAUUUUGAUACUAUUGUUUUCCCACUGAUAUUUCUAAAAAUCAGCUAAGAGCAUGGCUUAUAAGGCAACUGAAAAAUCUAUAUAUACGUAAAAAUAUAGAGAAAUGACAAGAAUUGUGUGUGCACCAAUCAACUGCCACACUGAAAGAGAGAUGGAGGGAGACCACACUGCUUCUAUCAGUUUAGCCUGUGUCAACUACAGUGCAUAACAAUAUUCAGAAUGACCCAUAAUCCUUUUUAAAUGACACGUGGCUGUUCCCCGAAAUGGGACGACACUCAGCGACCACCACCCUCCUGGCCACCCCCAAAGAGCACCAUGAUCAGCACGACAGGAACAAUGUAGAUCCACUGCAAAUAAAAGGAACGACUAAGCAC